rnacentral:lncRNA from 1 species
GUCUACUCCCUUAGAAAAUUGUUGAGUGGCAGGCGUGGGGCGGUGGCUCACGCCUGUAAUCCCAGCACUGUGGGAGGCCGAGGCGGGCAGAUCACGAGAUUCCUAGUUCUGUCUGAGAAUGAGCUGAAAUCUGUCUCCAGGUGACUUCUGCUCCCAGGUGACUUCUGCUCCCAGGUGACUUCUACCUAUGGGUUGUUGCUCUGACCUUGGACCUACAUAGAAUAAGCUACCCCUGAGCUUCCUCCAGGUCUGGACACGUGAGCAGCCAUCUCAUCAGAGUGGAGAAUGAAACUUGACACACAGAGUGAGUGCCUAUCACUAUCUAAGCUUCCAGGUAAAAUAUGCAGCAAAAACCUUGGUCCAGAUAAUCACCACGUUCUGAAGAUGAAAAAUAACAGCUGUCUUUGGUACUCAUUUGCUUGUAAAAACUUUUCUCUAAGAAAAUCUUGUGAAGUCCUAUACGUUUGAAAUGUACUUGUUCCAUGAUCUUUGAAAUAAAUGCUUAAGAACCAUGAAAUUACUUUGGGUGAGGGUGGGGGGAUGUGUUGAUUAUUUGAUUGCAAACAAUUUUGUUCAUUUAACUAUUCAUUAACAUAAAAAGAUGAAAAAUUCUUGGAACAUAUUUUGCAUAGAUUUAGAACUUAAAGAAUUUAAUCAAAAGUAAAUAUAACCUUGAG